rnacentral:rRNA from 1 species
UUUAACCUACGGGGGGCAGCAGUGGGGAAUAUUGCACAAUGGGGGGAACCCUGAUGCAGCGACGCCGCGUGAGUGAAGAAGUAUUUCGGUAUGUAAAGCUCUAUCAGCAGGGAAGAAAAUGACGGCACCUGACUAAGAAGCCCCGGCUAACUACGUGCCAGCAGCCGCGGCAAUACGUAGGGGGCAAGCGUUAUCCGGAUUUACUGGGUGUAAAGGGAGCGUAGACGGUUAUGCAAGUCUGAAGUGAAAGACCAAG